rnacentral:rRNA from 1 species
UACGUAGGGGGCUAGCGUUGUCCGGAUUUAUUGGGCGUAAAGAGCGUGUAGGCGGCCAGAUAGGUCCGUUGUGAAAACUGGAGGCUUAACCUCCAGCUGUCGAUGGAAACCAUCUGGCUAGAGUCCGGAAGAGGAGAGUGGAAUUCCUGGUGUAGCGGUGAAAUGCGCAGAUAUCAGGAGGAACACCGGUGGCGAAGGCGGGUCUCUGGGCCGAUACUGACGCUGAGGAGCGAAAGCGUGGGGAGCGAACAGG